rnacentral:rRNA from 1 species
UACGUAGGGUGCAAGCGUUAAUCGGAAUUACUGGGCGUAAAGCGUGCGCAGGCGGUUCGGAAAGAAAGAUGUGAAAUCCCAGGGCUUAACCUUGGAACUGCAUUUUUAACUGCCGGGCUAGAGUAUGUCAGAGGGGGGUAGAAUUCCACGUGUAGCAGUGAAAUGCGUAGAGAUGUGGAGGAAUACCGAUGGCGAAGGCAGCCCCCUGGGAUAAUACUGACGCUCAUGCACGAAAGCGU